GGAUUAGAUACCCUGGUAGUCCACGCCGUAAACGAUGAGUGCUAACUGCUGGGCCUUUAAGGCGCGGUGGUGUAGCUAACGCAUUAAGCACUCCGCCUGGGGAGUACGGUCGCAAGAUUAAAACUCAAAGGAAUUGACGGGGGCCCGCACAAGCGGUGGAGCAUGUUCAUUAAUUCGAAGCAACGCGAAGAACCUUACCAGGCCUUGAAAUCCUUGUCGUAGAUUCCCGAAAAGGAAUCGUCAUUUAGUUGGACAAGUGACAGGUGCUGCAUGGCUGUCGUCAGCUCGUGCCG
rnacentral:rRNA from 1 species